UAUGUUUAAAAAAUAGUUUAAUAAGCUUUUUCAGAAUUGCAGACAGAGGGAGGGGAGGUAGGAGAAGGGAAUUACUAACAGUGCAAAAUUACUAUGUGUGGAAAAUGUAUAAAACUAACUCGUAAGUUUUGUGUGUGUGGUUGGUUGGUUUUAUAAUAUCCCAUUUAAUCCUUUAGGAAGCCCAGCAAAGAGACUGACUCUGUUGAGCUGGGCUCUCUGUUCAGGCUGCAGUCUUAAAGCACUUCAUCAUGACAGCACUUCAAAACACACCCAACUCGUGAUGCGAGGCUUCAGUGCAGUUUGGAAACAAGGCUCCAAGCUCCAAGCUGCACCGAAGGUUUUGCAAAUGAAAUCAGAGUUACUUUAGUUCUAGGCUUUUAAAUAGCUUUAGUAGUGCAAUGACUUAUCAAGUUAUAGUGGCUGCAGUUUGAAGAACAUGAACAAAGUCUUGUAUAGAACACCAGCAUAAACAAAAUGUAAAUCAGAAUUAAAUAUUCUUAAAGUCUAGCUGAGCAUUACAGAGCUGCUGAUUAUGGAAUGUCAGGUCUCUCCUAUGUGACACCAAAAGAAAGGUAAGAAAGAUAAAACAAAGCAACAUUCCUGAAAAUAUACACAGUGCUGUAUUUCACACACAAGCCUGAGACAAUUGACUUACUUAGAAACUUUCCUAUAAGGUUUUGGAAGCAAACAAAACUGCAUCAGAAUAAAACUGAAAAUAGGACUCUAGCUGCAAAAGACUCUUGGAAGCACUGCACCACCUUCAGUCUGAAACCGUCUUGAGACCAUCUUUGAUCCAAGGCUGUGAUGCUUUGGGUUUGAUGAACCAGAUUGGGAAGUUAACUAAAGCAAGCACUUCAUUACUUGAUUAAUGCAGGCUGUAGUUAGCAAACCUCUCUGCUGUGCCUCUCCAUGUGAAUUGCGGGCUAGUUCUAGGCAGAUGUCACCUUCCACACGUCAGCUGGCGCAGUCAGAAUGGAUCAUUCACAGCACUUCUGGGAACAGCAGGUUAACAGCUCCUGUAACUCAUCACGGUGAUGGAACCAGGCCGGAUCCAGAGGAUUUGGCUCAUUAAUGACCAUAAAGUCCAAGUACACGUAGUUGAAGAAGAAAAGAAACCAAACAAAACCUUUAGCAGUGGGUUUAGGGUAAGAAAUCAGUUUCAAACCAUAGGACCAUACAAAGACUCAUACAUGUGAAGUGAAAAUAACCC
ensembl:lncRNA